GAUGAACGCUGGCGGCGUGCCUAAUACAUGCAAGUCGAGCGAACAGACGAGGAGCUUGCUCCUCUGACGUUAGCGGCGGACGGGUGAGUAACACGUGGAUAACCUACCUAUAAGACUGGGAUAACUUCGGGAAACCGGAGCUAAUACCGGAUAAUAUAUUGAACCGCAUGGUUCAAUAGUGAAAGACGGUUUUGCUGUCACUUAUAGAUGGAUCCGCGCCGCAUUAGCUAGUUGGUAAGGUAACGGCUUACCAAGGCAACGAUGGGUAGCCGAACUGAGAGGGUGAUCGGCCACACUGGAACUGAGACACGGUCCAGACUCCUACGGGAGGCAGCAGUAGGGAAUCUUCCGCAAUGGGCGAAAGCCUGACGGAGCAACGCCGCGUGAGUGAUGAAGGUCUUCGGAUCGUAAAACUCUGUUAUUAGGGAAGAACAAAUGUGUAAGUAACUAUGCACGUCUUGACGGUACCUAAUCAGAAAGCCACGGCUAACUACGUG
rnacentral:rRNA from 1 species